rnacentral:rRNA from 1 species
AGUGAACGCUGGCGGUAGGCCUAACACAUGCAAGUCGAACGGCAUCACAGGAGAGCUUGCUCUCUAGGUGGCGAGUGGCGGACGGGUGAGGAAUACAUCGGAAUCUGCCCAGUCGUGGGGGAUAACGUAGGGAAACUUACUCUAAUACCGCAUACUACCUUCGGGUGAAAGAGGGGGAUCGCAAGACCUCUCGCGAUUGGAUGAGCCGAUGUCGGAUUAGCUAGUUAGCGGGGUAAUGGCCCACCAAGGCGACGAUCCGUAGCUGGUCUGAGAGGAUGAUCAGCCACACUGGAACUGAGACACGGUCCAGACUCCUACGGGAGGCAGCAGUGGGGAAAAUUGGACAAUGGGAGCAAGCAUGAUACAGCCAUACCGCGUGGGUGAAGAAGGCCUUCGGGUUGUAAAGCCCUUUUGUUGGGAAAGAAAUCUAACAGGCUAAUACCCUGGGAGGAUGACGGUACCAAAAGAAUAAGCAACGGCUAACUUAGA